CAGUAGCCGCGGUAAUACGUAGGGUGCAAGCGUUGUCCGGAAUUAUUGGGCGUAAAGGGCUCGCAGGCGGUUUCUUAAGUCUGAUGUGAAAGCCCCCGGCUCAACCGGGGAGGGUCAUUGGAAACUGGGAAACUUGAGUGCAGAAGAGGAGAGUGGAAUUCCACGUGUAGCGGUGAAAUGCGUAGAGAUAUGGAGGAACACCAGUGGCGAAGGCGACUCUCUGGUCUGUAACUGACGCUGAGGAGCGAAAGCGUGGGGAGCGAACAGGAUUAGAUACCCCGGUAGUCCCUGUCUCUUAUAC
rnacentral:rRNA from 1 species